UUUUAACCCAGCGGGUGCUGUAAACAGUACGUUGGCGGUUCACACCAGUUCAGAAGUAAGGUAUCUUAAAUUGCACUCGACAAUGUUGUGAAUACUUUAAAAUGCUUGAAGCCAUACUUGAUGCCUUCCAUAACGUGUAAAGUAAGAAGUUAGCCUGUGUUAAAAAGUGGUGAUCCCUGCAGAUUACCAAGGCAUCCAGUCUCCCAGCAAGUGCCAAGAGGCAUUCAUUCAAUGCUCCGCUGACACCAAUUUGCCCAAAGUUCACACAGCAAGAAGCCAAGGACCCACCGAGGCUGUCACUUGGAAGAGGUCAUUGUUGUUGCAUCCAGCAUCCCAGCCUGACAGCCUAGACAGGUCCCGCAGGUUGCUGAAUGGCAGAGGUGCAGGCUGCUCCACAGCAAGAUGUGAGACCAGUGUGGCAGAGUAUGAUGUGUACACAAUGAGGGACACACUGUAGCCAACCCAGUAGAUUACCGGUGCUGCAGUGCUGAUUGGGUCCUCACCUUGUUGUAGGAGAGCUGACAACAUGUACCAGCCAGCAGCAACUCCCAUGCUAACAGGCUUCUCCCCCGCGGGUAUGUAGCACCUCUGGAGUCGCUCGAUGAAGAAGAGGAUGCUGGCGAGGCCUGUCGUGUUAGCCGGGAUGCGCCGGUACAGAGCUGUGUCCGUUGGGGUUGUGUAGGCAAGCAUCUUCUUGGCAAGGUCCUCGUAGGUGGCCGCAAACAGUUUACGGCUGUGGGAUGAGAACUUGUCUUGUGAAUCGUGACGUUGGGGUGAGUGUUAAUCUGAUUUUGUGUUACUAUGUUCUGUGGGGAGUGGGUGUUAAUGUGAUUUUUUGUUAACUGAAUGCUGUGUCUGACCUCCUGAGGUGUAGUAUGGUGGGCCACAAGAUUGUCCCUUUCCACUAGGGGCUGACAGAUGAUAUUAAGAGUGUGAAUGUGUGUGUGGUGUUAACGUGCUGGAGUGUGCACAGCCAGGAGUGUUUGGGGAAUGAAAAUAAAAGGAGUUAUGGAUGUUUAAAAAUGCAUCUUUUGAGAGCUAAGUAUACAAGAAAGUUGGUGUGUUUGGGG